UACGUAGGUGGCAAGCGUUGUCCGGAUUUACUGGGCGUAAAGAGCGCGCAGGCGGUCGGAUAAGUCGAGUGUGAAAGACCCUGGCUCAACCAGGGAGGGUCACUUGAUACUGUUCGACUCGAAGGCAGGAGAGGGAAGUGGAAUUCCGGGUGUAGUGGUGAAAUGCGUAGAUAUCCGGAGGAACACCAGUGGCGAAGGCGACUUUCUGGCCUGUUCUUGACGCUGAGGCGCGAAAGCUAGGGGAGCAAACGGG
rnacentral:rRNA from 1 species